CAGCAGCCGCGGGAAUACAGAGGGUGCGAGCGUUAAUCGGAUUUACUGGGCGUAAAGCGUGCGUAGGCGGCUAAUUGAAUCGGAUGUGAAAUCCCCGAGCUUAACUUGGGAAUUGCAUUCGAUACUGGUUAGCUAGAGUGUGGGAGAGGAUGGUAGAAUUCCAGGUGUAGCGGUGAAAUGCGUAGAGAUCUGGAGGAAUACCGAUGGCGAAGGCAGCCAUCUGGCCUAACACUGACGCUGAGGUACGAAAGCAUGGGGAGCAAACAGGAUUAGAUACCCGUGUAGUCCCUGUCUCUUAUAC
rnacentral:rRNA from 1 species